GGCCUACGGGGGGCAGCAGUGGGGGAUAUUGCACAAUGGGGGAAACCCUGAUGCAGCGACGCCGCGUGGGUGAAGAAGCGCCUCGGCGCGUAAAGCCCUGUCAGCAGGGAAGAAAAUGACGGUACCUGAAGAAGAAGCCCCGGCUAACUACGUGCCAGCAGCCGCGGUAAUACGUAGGGGGCAAGCGUUAUCCGGAUUUACUGGGUGUAAAGGGGGCGCAGACGGCAGUGCAAGUCCGGAGUGAAAGCCCGGGGCUCAACCCUGGGACUGCUCUGUAAACUGUAAAGCUGGAGUGCGGGAGGGGC
rnacentral:rRNA from 1 species